rnacentral:rRNA from 1 species
CGCGCGAUACAGGGUGACAGCCCCGUACACAAAAAUGCACAUGCUGUGAGCUCGAUGAGUAGGGCGGGACACGUGGUAUCCUGUCUGAAUAUGGGGGGACCAUCCUCCAAGGCUAAAUACUCCUGACUGACCGAUAGUGAACCAGUACCGUGAGGGAAAGGCGAAAAGAACCCCGGCGAGGGGAGUGAAAAAGAACCUGAAACCGUGUACGUACAAGCAGUGGGAGCACGCUUAGGCGUGUGACUGCGUACCUUUUGUAUAAUGGGUCAGCGACUUAUAUUCUGUAGCAAGGUUAACCGAAUAGGGGAGCCGAAGGGAAACCGAGUCUUAACUGGGCGUUAAGUUGCAGGGUAUAGACCCGAAACCCGGUGAUCUAGCCAUGGGCAGGUUGAAGGUUGGGUAACACUAACUGGAGGACCGAACCGACUAAUGUUGAAAAAUUAGCGGAUGACUUGUGGCUGGGGGUGAAAGGCCAAUCAAACCGGGAGAUAGCUGGUUCUCCCCGAAAGCUAUUUAGGUAGCGCCUCGUGAAUUCAUCUCCGGGGGUAGAGCACUGUUUCGGCAAGGGGGUCAUCCCGACUUACCAACCCGAUGCAAACUGCGAAUACCGGAGAAUGUUAUCACGGGAGACACACGGCGGGUGCUAACGUCCGUCGUGAAGAGGGAAACAACCCAGACCGCCAGCUAAGGUCCCAAAGUCAUGGUUAAGUGGGAAACGAUGUGGGAAGGCCCAGACAGCCAGGAUGUUGGCUUAGAAGCAGCCAUCAUUUAAAGAAAGCGUAAUAGCUCACUGGUCGAGUCGGCCUGCGCGGAAGAUGUAACGGGGCUAAACCAUGCACCGAAGCUGCGGCAGCGACGCUGAUGCGUUGUUGGGUA